CAGCCACUCUCUCUCCUACGUGGCGCUCUAAAAAAUCUCCAUUUUGUGUUCUCUCAAAUCUUCUAAUUCAUGCUUCAUCCUAAAUCUAAUUUCAGGAUUAGUUAUCUAAAUCUCUUAAUAAUCUCCAUUUUUGAAAAACAUAUCAGCCGAGCGUUUCUUUUCCAAAAAUCUCCAUCUUCCCCAAAAAUCUUCUCGACAAUUCAUACAAUCAGCCGAGCGUUUCUUUUCCCAAAUUGAGAACUGCAAAUUGAGAGAGAAAAAAAGAAAGAAAAGGCAGAUAACUUUUAAGGCAGGUGCUUCAUCCAUGGCUGCAAACUUCUCUUGCCCACAAAUUGGGUCCUUCCCUCCCUUCUUUCGUUUAUCUAUUUUCUGCGUCUCCACAUCAGACUUUUCCUCCCGGCGCUGCGAUUCGCCGCACUCCAUUGAAGAACGAUUCCUAAUCUGGUGGAUCUACUCCGAUUGUGGAUUUUUGAGGUAAACCCUAAUCAGGUGGAUCUACUCCGAUUGAGGAUUUUUAAGCGACGACGAUGGCAACUUCUAGAAGCGCAUUAGCAGCAGUUCGGCUGAGUAGAUCGGCAGCAUCAGCCUUUCGGGCAUCCGGCGCUGGUCACACUCCAUCCGCCGCCCUCCAAUCGACCCGCCCCCGAUCUCGCUGCUCCUAUCGCGCUCCCGUGCCCUAAUGUCCCCCGGUGGCAGCAACAUAUCUUUUGUCACUCUUUUCUCUGCGUCAUGCCUCAAUCGCGUAGCAUCCUGCCCUACUCUAACUCUUCUUCGCAGGUUAAAGUUGCCUUGAUUGACAUGAUGCUGGAAGCACUGGUCUUAAAUUAACGUCAGCAGAAUUGAAAGUCAAAGUGUGUCUUAAUCUUCAUGGUAUUAUGUCUGUUGAAUUAGCAACGGUAAGCUCUCAGCUCUAUUGAUGAAUUUUAUUUCUUAUGCUUACUGCUGCGUAGUGGGGUUUUUUAGCAAAUUACUCGAAGACCAAGCUUAUUAAAAGUCUUCUCAUUUUUGGUGCUUUUAUUACCAAUUUAUUCGCUAUUUUUAAAAGUGAGAUGUAUCAUGUAUAUAACUGCAGUAUAACAGUCAGCUGAGGCAACAAACAUAUUAGUCGCUAUCCAUAAUCAAGCUCAGACACAGAAAACUAGGACAUUCCAUAACCAGAGUUAGAGAUAAUGCAUUCAUCCUUGAAAUAAUUUAAUGAGGCUGAGAAAUUUUCGGGACCUUUCUGCAAUUUGAGUUUCGUCAAAAACUGACAUAUAUAAGAUAGUAGAAAAGAUUAAUGACAGGUAUAUCAGAUUUUUCAUCCAAUGAGAUGGUUUGGCCAAUAAACUGUAGGUUGUAUAAGAUAAUAACUAGAUCUUAAUUAUCACCAUAAAAGAUAGAUAUUAAGAAAAUGCCAAAUUGCUAAAAUGUUAGUUCUAUUGGUAAAAAAGAAAGUUGUCUCUGGGUGCUAGAACUUAUUUAUGUGUUUAUGGAAUUGCACUAUCCUAGCGUAAUUUGAUGAUUGUAUCAGAGUUUUUUGCAUGUAUCUAUUCUUAAGGAAAAUUCUUAUUGGUAUAUAUUUUCUCGAGCAAGACUGUAAACAUACAUGUUAUAUUUGAAUUUUAAUUUUUUAUCUAUGUAUUUGUGCUUCUGCUGCUGUGUGGUGGCACUGGCUUUCUUCGUGUGGAUUAUUUCAAUUUUUUUUUUUCUGUUUUGAAUUUUGGAAUUGCUGUGAGGAUUUUAUAAUAUUGCUUUCAGAUGAUGGUGAAAGGCUAUUUGUUAUUGCUAAGUAUGAUGGUGAUCCAUAUUCUGAUUGAUGAUGAGAUCCCACACACGGGAAUCGGCCUAAUAUUACUUUCUGAAGCAUUUUGGUGCAUCAAUGUUCAUUUAGAUAUACUAUAUGAUGUUUUCUAUGAUCAUGGAUGGGUGUUUCAGUGUAUUAUUUGACACAGGUUACACAUUUUGCUAUUAAUAUUGCUUCUAAUCCACUAUUAUAUGAUAUAAAUACUUGUCUAAAUAGUUUACAUGUCUUUUGCUUGGAUAGUUAUUCAUCUUAUAUUUGUUUUUGUUACUUUUAAGUUAUAUGAAAAUAAAAAGAAUAUGUGAUUUUCGGAUGUGGACAAGAAAUGGGAACAUCUGAACACAUGCUUAUCUUUUUUUAUGUUUCAAAUAAUUGGAAUAUAUUUUCUUACUUAAAUUGGGCAGCUUCUACACUACAGGCAGAAGGUUACAGGAAGUAAACGUUUUGGGUGGCCUUAUUCUUUUAUUAGCAUUAUAAUUAGAUUGUAUUAUAACUUAGGAAUGAUAAUGUGGUGUUCUAAUAAUUUGUUGGGUUAUUUAUGAAAAUGAUAUAUUGAUUAUUAUAAAAACAUUCGAUAAGUUCCAAUUCCGUGAUCCAAAUGGUGCCAUUGCAGGGACAUAUGAUGCACCUUUUGCUUCGCAACCAGAAUAGUAAUGAAGUGGCUCAUAGAAUCUUGCUCAGAUGCACAAUCUUACUCAAUUUUCUAAUUUUAUGGUCAGAUAUUUGUUCCCUUGCUUUAGUAUUAAGAGAUGAUUUGAUUUCUAAGGUUUUGCCGGGAAUAGAAACAAUUGAUGUUAUGAUUUGUUCAAAAAUAAAAAUUUUCAUAAUCGCUUCAUCUUUCGUAAAAUUAUUUGAUUUCUUUUGUGGUGCUUUAUUUCUAACUUUUAUUUGAUCCCAUAUUUAAUUAAUUUAGUGAUUUGGUCCCAGAACUGAUGGCAGGGGAAGUAAUGGAAGAUUUAUUUCUUUUAGUGAUUUGAUCUCAUAUUUAAUUAAUUUAGUGAUUUAAUUAAUUUAUUUCGUUAAUUCAUGUUAGGGUGGAUGAAAGUCCUCUUUAAAAUAUUUUUUCAUUUUAGUUUGACAUGUAACGUAAACUUAUUUAAUUAUAAAGUUUUCCUUCACAAUCAGUUGUUUUCCUUCAUAAAUUUGACACUCUGAUAUCGGAUAUUAAGUUUUAGAAGUCCAAAUGUCAUUAAUAUAACAACCAAGAUCACUAUCUGAGAAAUGCAGUUACUACAUUUGUUUAAGUAGAGAAAUUAUGGGGUUUAGUGCUGGCGUUUGUUUCUAUCUUCCACUUUGUCAUGAUCUAUUCCAGGACUGAUCACUUCAUAUGUGAAAGUUUUUCAAUUUCUCAGUGUUGCGUUUUGUUAAUCAUUUCUUUUUCUUUUUUAAUUUUCUAACUUAUGGUUUUGUGAGUUCAAAACUAUAAUCUGCAAUACAUGAUGUAUAACCACAUAUUCUUACCUUAUGUUUUAGACUUGGUUUGCUUCAUAGUGCAUCACUUUAUCAAAACAACAGGAACUAUGGCAACACCCUAAUUCGCAUAUUCAAGAUUGGAGACACAAAUGAGAACCAUGAUGUACUCACCAUCAUGCUAGAUAGACAAAAGUCUUUUAAAGUCAAGGUGGGAACGAGAUCUGACAAUCGGGCACAAUUUUCUAACAUUUCUCCUGAUGAGGUAAGUGUUUUUAAAAUAAAUAAAUGUGUGGAUUAUAUAUUGGUUAUUUAAUAAACAUCAAAAAAAUUAUUUGAUUUUCUUUAUGAAAUUUCGAAAAAUCGCCUCCAAAUAUAAGAGUUCUACUAAUUCCACCGAGAAAAAUGCAAUGGGCGAGGUAAAUACAAAUAUACUUUUAUUAUUUUUAUUUUUAGACUUUAUUAAAGUCAUAUUUAAAUACAAAUUGAAUGAUUUGACCGCUAAAAAAAUUCUGGCAGAUUGCUCCACCAUUGAUGAGGCAAGUUGUUAAACAAACUUUUACAUGAAUCAUAGUUGAUUUUUUUAUCUGCAGCACGAAUUAGAUGACAUGAGAUCUAUUUUGAUUAUAUGCAGGUUAUGGAAACAUUGCUGCAAAAGUUUGUUGAACUAGAGCAAACAGCUAAAGACCAAGUUGCAGACAAUGCAAUUCCUGGUAAAGAUCUGCUGGACACGAUGUGUAGCUAUGACGCCAUGAUAAAAGAGUGGUUGUGUGUGGGUAGAUUUGCAAGAGCGUUGGAAGCUCUUUGGUGAUAUGGAGGCUCACGAAGUUCAUCCUUAUUCGAUCAUAUAUAAAAAAGUUCCUUACAAUUUGUAUUAUACUAUGUAAUAUGGAAGUUUUUUUUGUCAUUGUUUUUCUUAUAUUAGAACAUAACCUUUUACCUAAAAAAAAAAUGAGUAAAUGACAUAAUGUUUCUCAUGGAUAAAA